CGCGCAGUAAAGAGCCGCGGUUACCAAAUCUCUGAUUUUGAGCCUUCUCAGGGCGAUACCCCACAUCCGGGUAUCGCCCUGAAGCAUUUUGGGCGCUUGCCGGGAGAUCGGGGCGCGCCCGCGCCACAUCAAAAUCAUCAGUAAUAUCAACUACCUGGUGGCAGAUAGAUAAAAUUUGAAUCAAAUCCAAGUAUUUCAAAUUUUAGGCUCAUUUUAUUCAAGUAUAGAUCGAGUUAUCCGCAGCUUUUACUUGUAUUCGUCUCAAUUGUACUUCGACGACUUAGCCGCGGCGAAAAUCCUUUGUGUGAAAAGUGGUCCCAACAAGAAAAACGGGGGCCACAA
rnacentral:misc_RNA from 1 species